rnacentral:rRNA from 1 species
AAGGGAAUCUUCCGCAAUGGGCGAAAGCUUGACGGAGAAACGCCGCGUGAGUGAAGAAGGCCUUCGGAUCGUAAAACUCUGGUAUUAGGGAAGAACAAAUGUGUAAGUAACUAUGCACGCCUUGACGGUACCUAACCAGAAAGCCACGGCUAACUACGUGCCAGCAGCUGCGGUAAUACGUAGGUGGCAAGCGUUAUCCGGAAUUAUAGGGCGUAAAGCGCGCGUAGGCGGUUUUUUAAGUCUGAUGUGACAGCCCACGGCUCAGCCGUGGAGAGUCAUUGUAAACUGUGAAACUUGAGUGCGGAAGAGGCAUGUGGAAUUCCAUGUGUAGCGGUGAAAUGCGCAGAGAUAUAGAGGAACACCAGUGGCGAAGUCGACUUUCUGGUCUUUAACUGACGCUGAUGUGCGAAAGCGUGGGGAUCAAACAGG